rnacentral:ncRNA from 2 species
CGCUCAUGCAGAGGACACGAGGGAUCUGGCCCGAAGACUGUCCGGCAACCUGUACUGAUUACAGAACAAGGUGCUAAGCCAGCCGCUUUUGCGGAAACCAUGAGGC